rnacentral:rRNA from 1 species
UCUUUUAAUUGAAGGCUGGUAUGAAUGGUUGGACAAAUAUUAACUGUUUCAUAAAUAUUUUUGUUAAAAUUUUAUUUUUUAGUCAAAAAGCUAAAAUUAAUUUAAAAGACAAGAAGACCCUAUAAAUCUUUAUAAUUUAAUUAUUAAAAAUUUAUAGAAUUAUUUUAUUAUAAUAAUAAGUAUUAUUUUAUUGGGGUGAUAUUAAAAUUUAAUUAACUUUUAAUUUAAUAUUUCAUUAAUUUAUGAAUGAUUGAUCCAUUAUUAAUGAUUAAUAAAAUAAGUUACUUUAGGGAUAACAGCGUAAUUUUUUUGGAGAGUUCAUAUCAAUAAAAAAGAUUGC